rnacentral:rRNA from 1 species
GAUGUACGCUGGCGGCGUGCCUAAUACAUGCAAGUCGAGCGAACGGACGAGAAGCUUGCUUCUCUGAUGUUAGCGGCGGACGGGUGAGUAACACGUGGAUAACCUACCUAUAAGACUGGGAUAACUUCGGGAAACCGGAGCUAAUACCGGAUAAUAUUUUGAACCGCAUGGUUCAAAAGUAAAAGACGGUCUUGCUGUCACUUAUAGAUGGAUCCGCGCUGCAUUAGCUAGUUGGUAAGGUAACGGCUUACCAAGGCAACGAUGCAUAGCCGACCUGAGAGGGUGAUCGGCCACACUGGAACUGAGACACGGUCCAGACUCCUACGGGAGGCAGCAGUAGGGAAUCUUCCGCAAAGGGCGAAAGCCUGACGGAGCAACGCCGCGUGAGUGAUGAAGGUCUUCGGAUCGUAAAACUCUGUUAUUAGGGAAGAACAUAUGUGUAAGUAACUGUGCACAUCUUGACGGUACCUAAUCAGAAAGCCACGGCUAACUACGUG